ACAGGUGAGUAACGCGUGGGGAAUCUGCCUUUGAGCGGGGGACAACAUUUGGAAACGAAUGCUAAUACCGCAUAAAAACUUUAAACACAAGUUUUAAGUUUGAAAGAUGCAAUUGCAUCACUCAAAGAUGAUCCCGCGUUGUAUUAGCUAGUUGGUGAGGUAAAGGCUCACCAAGGCGAUGAUACAUAGCCGACCUGAGAGGGUGAUCGGCCACAUUGGGACUGAGACACGGCCCAAACUCCUACGGGAGGCAGCAGUAGGGAAUCUUCGGCAAUGGACGAAAGUCUGACCGAGCAACGCCGCGUGAGUGAAGAAGGUUUUCGGAUCGUAAAACUCUGUUGGUAGAGAAGAACGUUGGUGAGAGUGGAAAGCUCAUCAAGUGACGGUAACUACCCAGAAAGGGACGGCUAACUACGUGCCAGCAGCCGCGGUAAUACGUAGGUCCCGAGCGUUGUCCGGAUUUAUUGGGCGUAAAGCGAGCGCAGGUGGUUUAUUAAGUCUGGUGUAAAAGGCAGUGGCUCAACCAUUGUAUGCAUUGGAAACUGGUAGACUUGAGUGCAGGAGAGGAGAGUGGAAUUCCAUGUG
rnacentral:rRNA from 1 species